GUGGGGAAUAUUGGACAAUGGGCGCAAGCCUGAUCCAGCCAUGCCGCGUGAGUGAUGAAGGCCUUAGGGUUGUAAAGCUCUUUCAGUGGGGACGAUAAUGACGGUACCCACAGAAGAAGCCCCGGCUAACUUCGUGCCAGCAGCCGCGGUAAUACGAAGGGGGCUAGCGUUGUUCGGAUUUACUGGGCGUAAAGCGCACGUAGGCGGAUCGUUAAGUCGGGGGUGAAAUCCUGGAGCUCAACUCCAGAACUGCCUUCGAUACUGGCGAUCUUGAGUCCGGAAGAGGUGAGUGGAACUCCUAGUGUAGAGGUGGAAUUCGUAGAUAUUAGGAAGAACACCAGUGGCGAAGGCGGCUCACUGGUCCGGCACUGACGCUGAGGUGCGAAAGCGUGGGGAGCAAACAGGAUUAGAUACCCGAGUAGUCC
rnacentral:rRNA from 1 species